rnacentral:rRNA from 1 species
GAUGAACGCUGGCGGCGUGCCUAAUACAUGCAAGCCGAGCGAACAGACGAGGAGCUUGCUCCUCUGACGUUAGCGGCGGACGGGUGAGUAACACGUGGAUAACCUACCUAUAAGACUGGGAUAACUUCGGGAAACCGGAGCUAAUACCGGAUAAUAUAUUGAACCGCAUGGUUCAAUAGUGAAAGACGGUUUUGCUGUCACUUAUAGAUGGAUCCGCGCCGCAUUAGCUAGUUGGUAAGGUAACGGCUUACCAAGGCAACGAUGCGUAGCCGACCUGAGAGGGUGAUCGGCCACACUGGAACUGAGACACGGUCCAGACUCCUACGGGAGGCAGCAGUAGGGAAUCUUCCGCAAUGGGCGAAAGCUGGACGGAGCAACGCCGCGUGAGUGAUGAAGGUCUUCGGAUCGUAAAACUCUGUUAUUAGGGAAGAACAAAUGUGUAAGUAACGAUGCACGUCUUGACGGUACCUAAUCAGAAAGCCACGGCUAACUACGU